rnacentral:misc_RNA from 1 species
GAUGAAGAACGUAGUGAAAUGCGAUAAGUAAUGUGAAUUGCAGAAUUCAGUGAAUCAUCGAAUCUUUGAACGCACAUUGCGCCCCCUGGUAUUCCGGGGGGCAUGCCUGUUCGAGCGUCAUUUCACCACUCAAGCCUCGCUUGGUAUUGGGCAACGCGGUCCGCCGCGUGCCUCAAAUCGACCGGCUGGGUCUUCUGUCCCCUAAGCGUUGUGGAAACUAUUCGCUAAAGGGUGCUCGGGAGGCUACGCCGUAAAACAAACCCAUUUCUAAGGUUGACCUCGGAUCAGGUAGGGAUACCCGCUGAACUUAAGCAUAUCAUAAGCGGAGGA